GACGAACGCUGGCGGCGUGCUUAACACAUGCAAGUCGAACGGAAAGGCCCUGCUUGCAGGGUACUCGCGUGGCGAACGGGUGAGUAACACGCGGGUGAACUGCCCUGCACUUCGGGAGAAGCCUGGGAGACUGGGUGUAAUACCGGAUAGGAGACCUUUUUAGGCUGAUGGUUGGAUAGUUUUUUCGGUGUGGGGUGAGCUCGCUGGCUAUCUGCUUGCUGGUGGGGGUAUGGGCUACCAAGGCGGCGGUGGGUUGCCCGCCUGCGGGGGUGGACGGCCACCUUUGGGCCUAGGUUAGGCCCCAGCUCCGACGGGGGGGCACAGGGGGGAAUAAUGCCCAAUGGGCGCGAGGCUGAUGCCGCGACCCCGCGUGGCGGAUGACGGGCUUAGGGUUGGAAACCCCUUUUGCUAGGGACGAAGCUUUUUGUGACGGUACCUAGUUAAGAAGCACCGGCUAACUACGUG
rnacentral:rRNA from 1 species